rnacentral:tRNA from 1 species
GAGCGCGUAGCUCAGUUGGCAGAGCAUUGGGCUAGUAUUCCAAAGGUCGUAGGUUCGAUUCCCACCGUGGUCA